ensembl:lncRNA
AGAGUGAAGUCCUCAAGUGAACUGAAUCUCCUGGGACUUUUCUAUGGUGAUGAAGCGUAACAGCGACUCAGAGAGCCCAGCAGCCCUCUCUCCAGUACCUCCUCCUCAGCUGCCAAUCUUUAUUGACCUCCCCCUGCUCUCUGGGAGAAACCAGUCUCCAUCACACAGCUGCUGCUAAGGCCCUUCAUGACCUAGCUUCCAAACAGCUCUUGGGGACCUUUGCACAGGACCUCUGCCUGAAAUCACCUCUCUCUUACUCCCUAAGCAGGAUAAUCACUACUCGGACUUUGAGGCUCCACGUGGCCAGACUUUCCACAGACCAUGGAGCAUACCAUCGAGUGGAUCCUCAAAAAAUGUUUUUUGAUGAAUGAGAGAUUGACUUUCUUUUGCUCUGCUGUCUCAGCCACACUACUGUUCCACCCCUGAAAAUCAUAAUUUAAAGUGCCUGUUGAUAAUUAUCAUUAUCAGUUUGACUUAAUUAAUCCUUUGUUGUCUCUAUCCUUGCCAAGCAAAAGCAAAAAUCUUUCUAUGCCAAAAUCCUUAGUUCAAAAGAAAUUAUAAUGUCAAACAAUGAAGGAAAGCAGUUAAAAGAAAUGAC